UACGGAGGGUGCAAGCGUUAUCCGGAUUCACUGGGUUUAAAGGGUGCGUAGGUGGGCAGGUAAGUCAGUGGUGAAAUCUCCGGGCUUAACCCGGAAACUGCCAUUGAUACUAUCAGUCUUGAAUACCGUGGAGGUAAGCGGAAUAUGUCAUGUAGCGGUGAAAUGCUUAGAUAUGACAUAGAACACCAAUUGCGAAAGCAGCUUACUACCCGAAUAUUGACACUGAGGCACGAAAGCGUGGGGAUCAAACAGG
rnacentral:rRNA from 1 species